rnacentral:rRNA from 1 species
CAGCCGCCGCGGGAAUACGUAGGUCCCGAGCGUUGUCCGGAUUUAUUGGGCGUAAAGCGAGCGCAGGCGGUUAGAUAAGUCUGAAAUUAAAGGCUGUGGCCUAACCAUAGUACGCUUUGGAAACUGUUUAACUUGAGUGCAAGAGGGGAGAGUGGAAUUCCAUGUGUAGCGGUGAAAUGCGUAGAUAUAUGGAGGAACACCGGUGGCGAAAGCGGCUCUCUGGCUUGUAACUGACGCUGAGGCUCGAAAGCGUGGGGCGCAAACAGGAUUAGAUACCCGGGUAGUCCCUGUCUCUUAUACA